rnacentral:rRNA from 1 species
UACGAAGGGUGCAAGCGUUACUCGGAAUCACUGGGCGUAAAGCGUGCGUAGGCGGUUCGUUAAGUCUGCUGUGAAAGCCCUGGGCUCAACCUGGGAACUGCAGUGGAUACUGGCGAGCUAGAGUGUGAUAGAGGAUGGUGGAAUUCCCGGUGUAGCGGUGAAAUGCGUAGAGAUCGGGAGGAACACCAGUGGCGAAGGCGGCCAUCUGGAUCAACACUGACGCUGAGGCACGAAAGCGUGGGGAGCAAACAGG